rnacentral:rRNA from 1 species
GAUGAACGCUGGCGGCGUGCUUAACACAUGCAAGUCGAACGGAAAGGCUCCUGCUUGCAGGGGUACUCGAGUGGCGAACGGGUGAGUAACACGUGGGUGAUCUGCCCUGCACUUCGGGACAAGCCUGGGAAACUGGGUCUAAUACCGGAUAGGACGAUGGUUUGGAUGCCAUUGUGGAAAGUUUUUCGGUGUGGGAUGAGCUCGCGGCCUAUCAGCUUGUUGGUGGGGUAAUGGCCUACCAAGGCGUCGACGGGUAGCCGGCCUGAGAGGGUGUACGGCCACAUUGGGACUGAGAUACGGCCCAGACUCCUACGGGAGGCAGCAGUGGGGAAUAUUGCACAAUGGGCGCAAGCCUGAUGCAGCGACGCCGCGUGGGGGAUGACGGCCUUCGGGUUGUAAACUCCUUUCGCUAGGGACGAAGCGCAAGUGACGGUACCUGGAGAAGAAGCACCGGCUAACUACGUG